GACGUAGGGCGCGAGCGUUGUCCGGAUUUAUUGGGCGUAAAGAGCUCGUAGGCGGCUCGUUGCGUCGGCUGUGAAAACCCGCAGCUCAACUGUGGGCUUGCAGCUGAUACGGGCGGACUUGAGUGUUGCAGGGGAGACUGGAAUUCCUGGUGUAGCGGUGAAAUGCGCAGAUAUCAGGAGGAACACCGGUGGCGAAGGCGGUUCUCUGGGCAUUACCUGACGCUGAGGAGCGAAAGUGUGGGGAGCGAACAGG
rnacentral:rRNA from 1 species